rnacentral:lncRNA from 1 species
CAUGGCUAAAAAUAGAACACAGGGUAAAAUGCAGUUUUUGGCUUAUAUCUAAAAAACUCCAGCAUUUAGAGCAAAUAAGACUAGAAGUUAAAAUAUUUAUUAGGUCAAGGUCUACCUGUCCUGAAAUUUUCAAUUUGCAAUUUGCAAAAAAAAUAAUUUGUUGUGCUACUUCCAAAAAAUAGAAAAUAUUCUGACCAGAAAAAAACCCAUGUCCCCCUACAAGUUAAAUGGUCCAUGCCUAACUGUUAUUAAUGAAAUCAUUUAACUGUUUUGCUGUUAUUGGAGCCCCUUGCCCCUUCUCAGCAGUGGAAUAAAUCCAAAUCAUGAAUGAAGAAAUUCGAAAGAAUAACAAUUUAAUAAUGUAACAAUAACAAUUUUAUUGUUAAAAUUCUUUUAUUGUAACUAUAAUGUAAUAAAAAUAACGUCCUGCCGCUCUUCUUGUAUGCAUAUUAUAUUAGAAGGAAACGUGUAAACAUGGUAGAACUUGUAUUUCUAAUAUUGAAGAAUUGUUAGCUGUACAUGUUUGCCUGGCAUGGUUCAAUAUGUUCAAUAAGGCAUUAUUUACCAGGUGAGCGAUUCAGGCUCUUGAGAGCCUCUUGUUCUAUUAAGUAUAUAAUAAAGUUCAUUUAUCAUGUUUAUAGAAAAAUAUAAAGAAAUCAUAUAUUAGAAAGAAAAAAAAGAUUUAUACUGGAGAGCCCCCUUAAUAUAAACAUAUUUUAUUUGUAAUCAUCAAAGGGAAUGAGACACAAGCUAAGACUUAUGAUGUCUUCUUUGGUAUCUUUUCUUGUCUACAUGAAAUUUUAUUUUGCUGUUAUCACAGUCCAGGCA